GAUGAACGCUAGCUACAGGCUUAACACAUGCCAGUCGCGGGGCAGCAUGGGGGUUGCUUGCAACCCCUGAUGGCGACCGGCGCACGGGUGAGUAACGCGUAUCCAACCUGCCCUUCACCACGGGAUAACCCGGCGAAAGUCGGACUAAUACCGUAUGUUGUCCAUUGACGGCAUCGGAUUUGGACGAAAGGCUUGGCGUGGAAAGGAUGGGGAUGCGUCCGAUUAGCUUGACGGCGGGGUAACGGCCCACCGUGGCUACGAUCGGUAGGGGUUCUGAGAGGAAGGUCCCCCACACUGGAACUGAGACACGGUCCAGGCUCCUACGGGAGGCAGCAGUGAGGAAUAUUGGUCAAUGGGCGUAAGCCUGAACCAGCCAAGUAGCGUGCAGGAGGACGGCCCUAGGGGUGGUAAACUGCUUUUAUGCGGAGAUAAAGUGGCCCACGUGUGGGCUUUUGCAGGUACCGCAUGAAUAAGGACCGGCUAAUUCCGUG
rnacentral:rRNA from 1 species